GACGAACGCUGGCGGCGUGCUUAACACAUGCAAGUCGAACGGAAAGGCCCUGCUUUUGUGGGGUGCUCGAGUGGCGAACGGGUGAGUAACACGUGAGUAACCUGCCCUUGACUUUGGGAUAACUUCAGGAAACUGGGGCUAAUACCGGAUAGGAGCUCCUGCUGCAUGGUGGGGGUUGGAAAGUUUCGGCGGUUGGGGAUGGACUCGCGGCUUAUCAGCUUGUUGGUGGGGUAGUGGCUUACCAAGGCUUUGACGGGUAGCCGGCCUGAGAGGGUGACCGGCCACAUUGGGACUGAGAUACGGCCCAGCCUCCUCCGGGAGGCAGCAGUGGGGAAUAUUGCACAAUGGGCGGAAGCCUGAUGCAGCAACGCCGCGUGCGGGAUGACGGCCUUCGGGUUGUAAACCGCUUUCGCCUGUGACGAAGCGUGAGUGACGGUAAUGGGUAAAGAAGCACCGGCUAACUACG
rnacentral:rRNA from 1 species